rnacentral:rRNA from 1 species
GCGAGUGAAGCGGCAACAGCUCGAAUUUGAAAUCUGGCCUCGGCCCGAGUUGUAAUCUGUAGAGGAUGCUUUUGGCGCGGUGCCUUCCGAGUGCCCUGGAACGGGACGCCACAGAGGGUGAGAGCCCCGUAUGGUCGGACACCAAGCCUGUGUAAAGCUCCUUCGACGAGUCGGGUAGCUUGGGAAUGCUGCUCUAAGUGGGAGGUAAACUUCUUCUAAAGCUAAAUACUGGCCAGAGACCGAUAGCGCACAAGUAGAGUGAUCGAAAGAUGAAAAGCACUUUGAAAAGAGGGUCAAAUAGUACGUGAAAUUGUUGAAAGGGAAGCGCUGGCGACCAGACGUGCGGGCGGCGGUUCCCCCUUCCUUUUGGUUGGGCUACUCCGUCGUCCCGCAGGCCAACAUCGGUUGCGGGGGCCGGUUAAAGGCCCGGGGAAUGUAUCUCGGCUUCGUGUCUUGACUUAUAGCCCCGGGUGCCAUGCGACCACCCGCGACCGAGGAACGCGCU